rnacentral:misc_RNA from 1 species
UCUCUGUUGGUGAACCAGCGGAGGGAUCAUUAUAGAGUUUUUAACUCCUAAACUCCUGUGAACUUGCCAUUGUUGCCUCGGCGGAGCCUACCCUGUAGCUACCCUGUAGGGUGGUUACCCUGUAGCGCCCCGCCGGUGGAUUUUCAAACUCUUGUUAUUUUUAGUAAUCUGAGCGUCUUAUUUUAAAUAAGUCAAAACUUUCAACAACGGAUCUCUUGGUUCUGGCAUCGAUGGAGAACGCAGC